CAUAAUGCACUGUGAAUGAACUCCCGCGUCUGACCGGAAGAUGGCGCCGCUGAAUCAAUCAUCCAGUUUCCAAGCCGCGCUGCACCAGCGUAAUAUAUAUCAUACAGAUCCGAUGUUAAUCCAGGAUGUUGGAUCAGGCCGAUCGAGGAAGACUGUGAUGACGAAGGGUCUGUACGUCACUGACACGCGGAGACAUGUUUCUGUAACACUCACAGUGCUGGGAAUGUGACAGGAAGUAGAAGCACCUGCAGGAGGAAGUGGAGCUCUACUGUCAGAACUGAUGCUGCGUUCCAAUCGCCUACUAACCCUACGCCCUAAAGUAUGUGGCCUACUCUUUUUGUGGAGAAAAAGAGAGUGUGUAGCAGAAGAGUAGACACGCGGUCAGAGUUUGUUAGCAGAGGAACACGGCUGUGACGGAGACUUUCCCUGGUAAACACGUCAACAGGACUGUACUUUCUUCUGCUGUCACUAAGAUCAACUCCUUGUGUGUGAAAACAACAAACUUGGCAAAUGAAGCUCAGUCUGAUUCUGAUUCUGAUUCUGAUUAGCAUGGCUGUGUGGAAACGGAUCUGCUAAACUGGAUCGCUGGGGCUGGUGAAGAAGAGAGAUCUGCGCUGAUACACCACUGUGAAAAGUGGCACAACUGUUUAGUGUAUUCCUGUGUCUGUGACCGAUCUGACCUGUCUGAGGAAUGACAUCAUCAUCAUCCUCAUCCUCCUCCUCAUCUCGGCUCCUGUGGUCCCGGCACAGAUGCAUGGAUUGAGCCACUGGAGGAGCGGCAGGUCCUUCAGGCCCUCGAUGUAUCCGAUGCUGUUGUUCGGGAGGUUGAGAACGCGUAAAUUAUUG